rnacentral:rRNA from 1 species
AGUGAACGCUGGCGGUAGGCCUAACACAUGCAAGUCGAACGGCAGCACAGUAAGAGCUUGCUCUUACGGGUGGCGAGUGGCGGACGGGUGAGGAAUACAUCGGAAUCUACUUUUUCGUGGGGGAUAACGUAGGGAAACUUACGCUAAUACCGCAUACGACCUACGGGUGAAAGCAGGGGAUCUUCGGACCUUGCGCGAUUGAAUGAGCCGAUGUCGGAUUAGCUAGUUGGCGGGGUAAAGGCCCACCAAGGCGACGAUCCGUAGCUGGUCUGAGAGGAUGAUCGGCCACACUGGAACUGAGACACGGUCCAGACUCCUACGGGAGGCAGCAGUGGGGAAUAUUGGACAAUGGGCACAAGCCUGAUCCAGCCAUACCGCGUGGGUGAAGAAGGCCUUCGGGUUGUAAAGCCCUUUUGUUGGGAAAGAAAAGCAGCAGGUUAAUACCCCGCUGUUCUGACGGUACCCAAAGAAUAAGCACCGGCUAACUUCGUG